rnacentral:rRNA from 1 species
GAACUGAAACAUCUAAGUACCCCGAGGAAAAGAAAUCAACCGAGAUUCCCCCAGUAGCGGCGAGCGAACGGGGAGCAGCCCAGAGCCUGAAUCAGUGUGUGUGUUAGUGGAAGCGUCUGGAAAGGCGUGCGAUACAGGGUGACAGCCCCGUACACAAAAAUGCACAUGCUGUGAGCUCGAUGAGUAGGGCGGGACACGUGGUAUCCUGUCUGAAUAUGGGGGGACCAUCCUCCAAGGCUAAAUACUCCUGACUGACCGAUAGUGAACCAGUACCGUGAGGGAAAGGCGAAAAGAACCCCGGCGAGGGGAGUGAAAAAGAACCUGAAACCGUGUACGUACAAGCAGUGGGAGCACAGAGCAAUCUGUGUGACUGCGUACCUUUUGUAUAAUGGGUCAGCGACUUAUAUUCUGUAGCAAGGUUAACCGAAUAGGGGAGCCGAAGGGAAACCGAGUCUUAACUGGGCGUUAAGUUGCAGGGUAUAGACCCGAAA